GGUUCAUUCAAAUUUCUGCCCUAUCAACUUUCGAUGGUAGGCUAGAGGCCUACAUGGUUUUUAACGGGUAACGGGGAAUUAGGGUUCGAUUCCGGAGAGGGAGCCUGAGAAACGGCUACCACAUCCAAGGAAGGCAGCAGGCGCGCAAAUUACCCAAUCCUGAUCAGGGAGGUAGUGACAAUAAAUAACAAUACAGGGCCCUUUGGGUCUUGUAAUUGGAAUGAGUACAAUUUAAAUCCCUUAACGAGGAACAAUUGGAGGGCAAGUCUGGUGCCAGCAGCCGCGGUAAUUCCAGCUCCAAUAGCGUAUAUUAAAGUUGUUGCAGUUAAAACGCUCGUAGUUG
rnacentral:rRNA from 1 species